rnacentral:rRNA from 1 species
GAUGAACGCUGGCGGCGUGCCUAAUACAUGCAAGUCGAGCGAAUGGAUUAAGAGCUUGCUCUUAUGAAGUUAGCGGCGGACGGGUGAGUAACACGUGGGUAACCUGCCCAUAAGACUGGGAUAACUCCGGGAAACCGGGGCUAAUACCGCAUAACACUUUGAACCGCAUGGUUCGAAAUUGGAAGGCGGCUUCGGCUGUCACUUAUGGAUGGACCCGCGUCGCAUUAGCUAGUUGGUGAGGUAACGGCUCACCAAGGCAACGAUGCGUAGCCGACCUGAGAGGGGGAUCGGCCACACUGGGACUGAGACACGGCCCAGACUCCUACGGGAGGCAGCAGUAGGGAAUCUUCCGCAAUGGACGAAAGUCUGACGGAGCAACGCCGCGUCAGUGAUGAAGGCUUUCGGGUCGUAAAACUCUGUUGUUAGGGAAGAACAAGUGCUAGUUGAAUAAGCUGGCACCUUGACGGUACCUAACCAGAAAGCCACGGCUAACUACGUGCCAGCCGCCGCAGUAA